CGGCCGGCCACAGGACCAGCCUCCGACAGCGAUUUCAUCCGCACCCUGCGGGGCAACGUGGGGCCUAUCCGUAGAUUUCAGCCUUUCCUGGACCCUACCAGGACAAGAAUCGCGGGGAGAGGUGCGAAGAAGGUCUGGAGAGGAGGAGGCUUGGGACAAUGCAGAGUCCUGGAAGUGAGGGUGACCGCUGACCGCUGUCAGGAGGGACAUGGACCGCUGCCGGGGAAUCAUGGGAUUUCCCACCGGCCCAGUCAUCUCCCACGUCGGGAAAAGGGAAGAGCUGCUUCCCCAUGGCGUGUGCGCGUGGGAAGGGUCUCGGGCAGAGAAGAGGCACUUUUUCUGUCCUCCAGGCUGUUUCCGCCAAAUGAAGACCUGGGCUGGAAGAGCCAGGAGCAAAGAGGAGAGUCGGGCGCUGAGCACCCAGCGGGAGAGGAUGCAGCCCGGUCAUCGCACACCUGCUGAGCACACAACAUCGUCUGCGAGUUCCCCCCACAUACUCCGCCUGCAGCUGCCAUUUGGGAAGAUGACUCUUGCCUCUUUCACUGUCUGUUUUUUAGAUUAGGACUCACGGGCCUAGAGCAGGACUCAGCUCUUCCAGAUCUUUUUCGAAAAGUAACAUCACACUUGUGCCCAGGGGUUCGAGACCAGCCUGGGCAACAGGACAAACCCCCUUCUCUACCAAAAAAACCCACAAAAUCUGUGUGGAAGGUGUGUGAACCCUUGGGAAACAGAGUUGCUGUACACGUGUAUCAGGCCCUGAGCCAGCUGAAGGGUGGGCAUUACUGCCUGGUGCCCUCCGCCCUCACUCUGCCUCCCUGGAUGUUGGGGAUGGCCCCGUAAACCUUGUUCAUAGGGGUCCCUCGUUUUCUGGGACACCUCAUCUGAGCACUGACGAGGGGACACAACUCUUGGCUGGGAAGAAAGAGACUGAGCAUUGCCUUCAAGCCAUCUCCACACAUGUGACCUCAGUCAGCAUUCUGCCCUUUCGUGGGUGUCAGUUGUCUCGUCCAUAAAAUGGGAUGAUGUUCUUGUUCCAGCCGGCAUACCGGAUGACUAAAUGAGGGAACAGGGAUGAGGUCUUACUAUGUUGCCCAGUCUGGUCUUGAACUUCUGGACUCAAUUGAUCCUCCUGCCUCAGCCUUCCAAAGUGUUGGGAUGACAGGCCAUGGUUUUGCGGGAGGAGGAGCUACGUCAGUCUGCCUUGGAGCUCAGCACCGUUUGGCCCAUGGUAGAUGCCUCACAGAAAACACAAGCGGCGUUGAGGGCUCCUGUGGGUGAAGGCUAAGGUGACAUUCAUUGCCCGGGGAAGUAAGCGUAGGGUUGAAUCGAAGCAAGUCAUCCAGGACGGAUGAGACAGGACGGGAUGGAGAGAUACAGCUACUGAACAGCAGGACUCAAGGAAGAGAGAAGGUGAGAAGCAAAAAGCUCUGUCCCUCACCCCAGUGGACACUCAGAGGGCUGUGUGGGAGACACCCCAGCCACAUUUGCAGCUAAAUUUCACCACACAAGAUGGAGUUUCACUCUUGUUGCCCAGGCUGGAGUACAAUGGCAUGAUCUUGGCUCACUGCAACCUCCUCCCGGAUUCAAGCAAUUCUCCUGACUCAGCGUCCUGAGUAGCUGGAUUACAGGCAUGUGCCACCACGCGCGGCUAAUUUUGUAUUUUUAGUAGAGAUGGGGUUUCUCCAUGUUGGUCAGGCUGGUCUUGAACUCCCAACCUCAGGUGAUCUGCCCGGCUCAGCCUCCCAGAGUAUUGGGAUUACAGGUGUGAGCCACCGCACCAGGCCACAGUAUGCGUAUGUUUAACUUUUUAAGAAAUUGUCCAAAUGUUUUCCUAAGUGUUUGGUGGUUGUACCAUUUAAGUUCUCAUCAGCUGUGUAUGAAAAUUCCAGUUCCUCCACAUCCCUGCCAACACUUGGUAUAGUCAGUCUUUUUUAUUUUAGCUAUUCUAAUAGUUAGUGGAAUGAGAGAUCUUGUAUCCAUUUUUUUAGGCUGCUUUCUUCUUAUUAAGUUAAAAAAAAUUUUUAGAGACAGGGUCUCUUUCUGUCACCUAUGCUGGAAUGCAGUGGCAAGAUCAUGGCCCACUGCAGUCUCAAACUCCUGGGCUGAAGCGAUCCCCCUGCCUUAGCCUUCCUAGUAGCUAGGGCUACCAGCAUGCACCACCACACUCAGCUAAUUUUUUAAAAAUGUUUGUAGAGAAGGGGUCUUGGUAUGUUGCCCAAGUUGGUCUUGACCUCCUGGAUUUAAGUGAUCCUCCCAUCUCAGCCUCCCAAUUAGGUGGGACUACAGGUGCAUACCACUAUGCCCAGCUAAUUUUUAAUUUACUUUUUAAUUUUUUGUAGAGAUGGGGUCUUGCUGUGUUGCCCAGGCUGGUCUCAAACUUGUGGCUUCAAAGGAUCAUCCUGCCUUGGCCUCGGAAAUUUCUGGGAUUACAGGUGUGAGCUACUGCACCUGGCAUUAUUAAGUUUUUUUGUUUGUUUGUUUGUUUUGAGACUGAGUUUUGCUCUUGUUGCCCUGGCUGGAGUGCAGUGGCAUGAUCUUGGCUCACUGCAGCCUCUGCCUCCCGGUUUCAAGUGAUUCUCGUGCUUCAGCCUCCCAAGUAGCUGGGAUUACAGGCAUGUGCCACCAUGUCUGGCUAAUUUUGUAUUUUUAGUACAGAUGGGGUUUCACUGUGUUGGACAACCUACCAAUUUGUUUCAUUAUGGAUCAUGCUUUUGGUGUUAUAUCUAAGAAAUUUUUGCCUACUCCAUGGUCAAAAAGGCUUUCUUCUAGAUGUUUCACAGUUUUAGAUUUUACAUUUAGGUCUAGAGUCCACUUGAAGUUAUAUUUUACGUAUGGUGCAAAGUAUAGUUUACUUUUCUGCUUAUGGAUAUGUUCCAGUACCAUUUGUUGAAAAAGACUAUCAUUUUUGUUUUGUUUUGUUUUUCGAGGCAGUGUCUUGCUUUGUCACUCAGGCUGGAGGCUGGAGUGCAGUAGCACAAACAUGGCUCACUGCAGCCUUGACCUCCCAGGCUCAAGUGAUCCACCUCAGCCUUCCAAGUAGCUGGGACUAUAGGAUGUACCAGCACACCCGGCUAAUUUUUGUAUUUUUGUGGAGACUGGGUUUCACCAUGUUACCCAGGCUGGUCUUGAAAUCCUGAGCUCAAGCAGUCCUCCUGCCUCAGCCUCCCAAAGUGCUGGGAUUACAGGUGUGAGCCACUGCGACUGGCCAAGACUAUCCUUUCUUGCACUGCAUUGCCUUUAUGCCUUUGUUGGAAAUCACUUGUCCAUUUAAAUAUGGGUCUAUUUCUGGACUCUCAAUUCUGUUCCAUUGAUCUGUUUGUCUGUCUUUAUACCAAUAUCACACUGUCUUGAUUACUGCACUUUAUAAUAAGUGUUAAAAUCAGAUGGUGUUUGUCUUUCAACUUUAUGCUUCUUCAAAAGUUGUUGUGAUUAUUCAUUUCUUUGCAAUUCCAUAUGAAUUUUAGAAUUAGUUUCUCAAUUUAUAUAUGUAUUUUAAACUAUUUUAUAUACAGAAAACACAAAGAAGGAAUUAAAAAUUAUAAUAAUCUUGCCACUUAGAGAUAAUUCCUGGUAAUAUUUUGGGUGUAUACAUCUAUAAUUGUUCUAUGCUUUGAAAUAUUUGCGGGGAGGAGCCAAGAUGGCCAAAUAGGAACAGCUCCUGUCUACAGCUCCCAGCGUGAGUGACGCAGAAGAUGGUGAUUUCUGCAUUUCCAUCUGAGGUACCGGGUUCAUCUCACUAGGGAGUGCCAGUGGGCGCAGGUCAGUGGGUGCGCGCACCGUGCGCGAGCCGAAGCAGGGCGAGGCAUUGCCUCACUUGGGAAGCACAAGGGGUCAGGGAGUUCCCUUUCCGAGUCAAAGAAAGGGGUGAUGGACGCACCUGGAAAAUCGGGUCACUCCCACCCGAAUACUGCACUUUUCCGACAGGCUUAAAAAAAGGCGCACCACGAGAUUAUAUCCCGCACCUGGCUCGGAGGGUCCUACACCCACGGAGUCUCGCUGAUUGCUAGCACAGCAGUCUGAGAUCAAACUGCAAGGUGGCAGCGAGGCUGGGGGAGGGGCGCCCGCCAUUGCCCGGGCUUGAUUAGGUAAACAAAGCAGCCUGGAAGCUCGAACUGGGUGGAGCCCACCACAGCUCAAGGAGGCCUGCCUGCCUCUGUAGGCUCCACCUCUGGCGGCAGGACACAGACAAACAAAAAGACAGCAGUAACCUCUGCAGACUUAAAUGUCCCUGUCUGACAGCUUUGAAGAGAGCAGUGGUUCUCCCAGUACGCAGCUGGAGAUCUGAGAAUGGGCAGACUGCCUCCUCAAGUGGGUCCCUGACCCCUGACCCCUGAGCAGCCUAACUGGGAGGCACCCCCCAGCAGGGGCAGACUGACACCUCAAACGGCAGGGUAUUCCAACAGACCUGCAGCUGAGGGUCCUGUCUGUUAGAAGGAAAACUAACAAACAGAAAGGACAUCCACACCAAAAACCCAUCUGUACAUCACCAUCAUCAAAGACCAAAAGUAGAUAAAACAACAAAGAUGGGGAAAAAACAGAACAGAAAAACUGGAAACUCUAAAAUGCAGAGCACCUCUCCUCCUCCAAAGGAACGCAGUUCCUCACCAGCAACGGAACAAAGCUGGAUGGAGAAUGACUUUGACGAGCUGAGAGAAGAAGGCUUCAGACGAUCAAAUUACUCUGAGCUACGGGAGGACAUUCAAACCAAAGGCAAAGAAGUUGAAAACUUUGAAAAAAAUUUAGAAGAAUGUAUAACUAGAAUAAUCAAUACAGAGAAGUGCUUAAAGGAGCUGAUGGAGCUGAAAACCAAGGCUCGAGAACUACGUGAAGAAUGCAGAAGCCUCAGGAGCCGAUGCGAUCAACUGGAAGAAAGGGUAUCAGUGAUGGAAGAUGAAAUGAAUUAAAUGAAGCAA